ACAACAGAGUUCGAUCAUGGCUCAGAUUGAAUCGCCAUGAUGCUUACGUAAGUCGAACGCAGCACGGACUUCGGUCUGGUGGCGAGUGGCAGAACGGGUGAUAAUGUAUCGGAACGUGCCUAGUAACGGGGAUAACUACGCGAAAGUGUAGCCAAUACCGCAUGCCCUUCGGGGGAAAGCGGGGGGACCUCGGCCUCGUACCAUUAGAGCGGCCGAUAUCGGAUUAGCUAGUUGGUGGGUAACGGCUCACCAAGGCGACGAUCCGUAGCUGGUUUGAGAGGACCAGCCACACUGGGACUGAGACACGGCCCAGACUCCUACGGAGGCAGCAGGGAAUUUUGGACAAUGGGAAACCUUAUCCAGCCAUCCCGCGUGUGCGAUGAAGGCCUCUUCUGCUGUAAAGCACUUUGGCAGGAAAGAAACGGCACGGGAUAAUACCCCGUGCAACUGACGGUACCUGCAGAAUAAGCACCGGCUAACUACGUGCCAGCAGCGCCGCGGUAAUACGUAGGGUGCAAGCGUUAAUCGGAAUUACUGGGCGCAGCGUGCAGGCGGUUCUGGCAAAGAAAGAUGUGAAAUCCCAGAGCUUAACUUUGGAACUGCAUUUUUAACUACCGAGAACAGAGGGUAGUUGCAGGGAGGUGGAAUUCCGCGUGUAGCAGUGAAUGCGUAGAUAUGCGGAGGAACACCGAUGGUGAAGGCAGCCUCCGGGAUAACACUGACGCUCAUGCACGAAAGCGGGAGCAAACAGGAUUAGAUACCCCGGUAGUCCACGCCCUAAACGAUGUCAACUAGCUGUUGGGGCCUCGGGCCUUGCAGCGCAGCUAACGCGUGAAGUUGACCGCCUGGGGAGUACGGGUCGCAAGAGGAUUAAAAACUCAAAGGAAUUGACGGGGACCUGCACAAGCGGUGAUGAGUGUGGAUUAAUUCGAUGCAACGCGAAAAACCUUACCUACCCUUGUCAUGUCUGGAAUCCGAAGAGAUUUGGGAGUGCUCGCAAGAGAACCGGAACACAGGUGCUGCAUGGCUGUCGUCAGCUCGUGUCGCAGAUGUUGGGUUAAGUCCCGCAACGAGCGCAACCCUUGUCAUUAGUUGCUACGAAAGGGCACUUAAUGAUUGCCGGUGGCAACCGGAGGAAGGUGGGGAUGACGUCAAGUCCUUCACGGUUCUUGCGGUAGGGCUUCACACGUCAUACAAUGGUCGGGACAGGGUCACAACCCGCGAGGGGGAGCUAAUCCCAGAAACCGAUCGAAAUCCGGAUCGUGAAGCUCGCAACUCGACUGUGAAGUCGGAAUCACGCUAGUAAUCGCGGAUCAGCAUGUCGCGGUGAAUACGUUCGGUCUUGUACACACCGCCCGUCACACCAUGGGAGCGGUUUUACCAGAAGUAGUUGUGGCCGACCCGUAAGGGAGGGCGAUUACCACGGUAGGAUUCAUGACUGGGUGGUGAAGUCGUAACAAGGUAG
rnacentral:rRNA from 1 species